rnacentral:rRNA from 1 species
GGUUAAGCGACUAAGCGUACACGGUGGAUGCCCUGGCAGUCAGAGGCGAUGAAGGACGUGCUAAUCUGCGAUAAGCGUCGGUAAGGUGAUAUGAACCGUUAUAACCGGCGAUUUCCGAAUGGGGAAACCCAGUGUGAUUCGUCACACUAUCAUUAACUGAAUCCAUAGGUUAAUGAGGCGAACCGGGGGAACUGAAACAUCUAAGUACCCCGAGGAAAAGAAAUCAACCGAGAUUCCCCCAGUAGCGGCGAGCGAACGGGGAGGAGCCCAGAGCCUGAAUCAGUGUGUGUGUUAGUGGAAGCGUCUGGAAAGGCGCGCGAUACAGGGUGACAGCCCCGUACACAAAAAUGCACAUGCUGUGAGCUCGAUGAGUAGGGCGGGACACGUGGUAUCCUGUCUGAAUAUGGGGGGACCAUCCUCCAAGGCUAAAUACUCCUGACUGACCGAUAGUGAACCAGUACCGUGAGGGAAAGGCGAAAAGAACCCCGGCGAGGGGAGUGAAAAAGAACCUGAAACCGUGUACGUACAAGCAGUGGGAGCCUCUUUAUGGGGUGACUGCGUACCUUUUGUAUAAUGGGUCAGCGACUUAUAUUCUGUAGCAAGGUUAACCGAAUAGGGGAGCCGAAGGGAAACCGAGUCUUAACUGGGCGUUAAGUUGCAGGGUAUAGACCCGAAACCCGGUGAUCUAGCCAUGGGCAGGUUGAAGGUUGGGUAACACUAACUGGAGGACCGAACCGACUAAUGUUGAAAAAUUAGCGGAUGACUUGUGGCUGGGGGUGAAAGGCCAAUCAAACCGGGAGAUAGCUGGUUCUCCCCGAAAGCUAUUUAGGUAGCGCCUCGUGAACUCAUCUCCGGGGGUAGAGCACUGUUUCGGCAAGGGGGUCAUCCCGACUUACCAACCCGAUGCAAACUGCGAAUACCGGAGAAUGUUAUCACGGGAGACACACGGCGGGUGCUAACGUCCGUCGUGAAGAGGGAAACAACCCAGACCGCCAGCUAAGGUCCCAAAGUCAUGGUUAAGUGGGAAACGAUGUGGGAAGGCCCAGACAGCCAGGAUGUUGGCUUAGAAGCAGCCAUCAUUUAAAGAAAGCGUAAUAGCUCACUGGUCGAGUCGGCCUGCGCGGAAGAUGUAACGGGGCUAAGCCAUGCACCGAAGCUGCGGCAGCGACACUAUGUGUUGUUGGGUAGGGGAGCGUUCUGUAAGCCUGUGAAGGUGUACUGUGAGGUAUGCUGGAGGUAUCAGAAGUGCGAAUGCUGACAUAAGUAACGAUAAAGCGGGUGAAAAGCCCGCUCGCCGGAAGACCAAGGGUUCCUGUCCAACGUUAAUCGGGGCAGGGUGAGUCGACCCCUAAGGCGAGGCCGAAAGGCGUAGUCGAUGGGAAACAGGUUAAUAUUCCUGUACUUGGUGUUACUGCGAAGGGGGGACGGAGAAGGCUAUGUUGGCCGGGCGACGGUUGUCCCGGUUUAAGCGUGUAGGCUGGUUUUCCAGGCAAAUCCGGAAAAUCAAGGCUGAGGCGUGAUGACGAGGCACUACGGUGCUGAAGCAACAAAUGCCCUGCUUCCAGGAAAAGCCUCUAAGCAUCAGGUAACAUCAAAUCGUACCCCAAACCGACACAGGUGGUCAGGUAGAGAAUACCAAGGCGCUUGAGAGAACUCGGGUGAAGGAACUAGGCAAAAUGGUGCCGUAACUUCGGGAGAAGGCACGCUGAUAUGUAGGUGAAGCGACUUGCUCGUGGAGCUGAAAUCAGUCGAAGAUACCAGCUGGCUGCAACUGUUUAUUAAAAACACAGCACUGUGCAAACACGAAAGUGGACGUAUACGGUGUGACGCCUGCCCGGUGCCGGAAGGUUAAUUGAUGGGGUUAGCGCAAGCGAAGCUCUUGAUCGAAGCCCCGGUAAACGGCGGCCGUAACUAUAACGGUCCUAAGGUAGCGAAAUUCCUUGUCGGGUAAGUUCCGACCUGCACGAAUGGCGUAAUGAUGGCCAGGCUGUCUCCACCCGAGACUCAGUGAAAUUGAACUCGCUGUGAAGAUGCAGUGUACCCGCGGCAAGACGGAAAGACCCCGUGAACCUUUACUAUAGCUUGACACUGAACAUUGAGCCUUGAUGUGUAGGAUAGGUGGGAGGCUUAGAAGUGUGGACGCCAGUCUGCAUGGAGCCGACCUUGAAAUACCACCCUUUAAUGUUUGAUGUUCUAACGUUGACCCGUGAUCCGGGUUGCGGACAGUGUCUGGUGGGUAGUUUGACUGGGGCGGUCUCCUCCUAAAGAGUAACGGAGGAGCACGAAGGUUGGCUAAUCCUGGUCGGACAUCAGGAGGUUAGUGCAAUGGCAUAAGCCAGCUUGACUGCGAGCGUGACGGCGCGAGCAGGUGCGAAAGCAGGUCAUAGUGAUCCGGUGGUUCUGAAUGGAAGGGCCAUCGCUCAACGGAUAAAAGGUACUCCGGGGAUAACAGGCUGAUACCGCCCAAGAGUUCAUAUCGACGGCGGUGUUUGGCACCUCGAUGUCGGCUCAUCACAUCCUGGGGCUGAAGUAGGUCCCAAGGGUAUGGCUGUUCGCCAUUUAAAGUGGUACGCGAGCUGGGUUUAGAACGUCGUGAGACAGUUCGGUCCCUAUCUGCCGUGGGCGCUGGAGAACUGAGGGGGGCUGCUCCUAGUACGAGAGGACCGGAGUGGACGCAUCACUGGUGUUCGGGUUGUCAUGCCAAUGGCACUGCCCGGUAGCUAAAUGCGGAAGAGAUAAGUGCUGAAAGCAUCUAAGCACGAAACUUGCCCCGAGAUGAGUUCUCCCUGACUCCUUGAGAGUCCUGAAGGAACGUUGAAGACGACGACGUUGAUAGGCCGGGUGUGUAAGCGCAGCGAUGCGUUGAGCUAACCGGUACUAAUGAACCGUGAGGCUUAACCUU